rnacentral:tRNA from 1 species
GCAUUGGUGGUUCAGUGUGUAGAAUUCGCGCCUGCCCACGCGGGAGGCCCGGGUUCGAUUCCCGGCCAAUGCA